CGACCUCAGAGCAGGCGAGACUACCCGCUGAAUUUAAGCAUAUUACUAAGCGGAGGAAAAGAAACUAACAAGGAUUCCCCCAGUAGCGGCGAGCGAACAGGGAAGAGUCCAGCACCGAACCCCGCAGGCUGCCGCCUGUCGUGGCAUGUGGUGUUUGGGAGGGUCCACUACCCCGACGCCUCGCGCCGAGCCCAAGUCCAACUUGAAUGAGGCCACGGCCCGUAGAGGGUGCCAGGCCCGUAGCGGCCGGUGCGAGCGUCGGCGGGACCUCUCCUUCGAGUCGGGUUGCUUGAGAGUGCAGCUCCAAGUGGGUGGUAAACUCCAUCUGAGACUAAAUAUGACCACGAGACCGAUAGCGAACAAGUACCGUGAGGGAAAGUUGAAAAGAACUUUGAAGAGAGAGUUCAAAAGUACGUGAAACCGUUCUGGGGUAAACGUGAGAAGUCCGAAAGGUCGAACGGGUGAGAUUCACGCCCAUCCGGCCACUGGCCUCCGCCCUCGGCAGAUGGGGCCGGCCGCCCGCGCGGAGCAAUCCGCGGCGGGGUCGUGUCCGGUUGCCUUUCCACUCGCCGCGGGGUGGGGCCGUUCCGGUGUGCGGUGGGCCGCACUUCUCCCCUAGUAGGACGUCGCGACCCGCUGGGUGCCGGCCUACGGCCCGGGUGCGCAGCCUGUCCUUCCGCGGGCCUCGGUUCGCGUCUGUUGGGCAGAGCCCCGGUGUCCUGGCUGGCUGCCCGGCGGUAUAUCUGGAGGAGUCGAUUCGCCCCUUUGGGCGCUCGGGCUCCCGGCAAGCGCGCGCGGUUCUUCCCGGAUGACGGACCUACCUGGCCCGGCCCCGGACCCGCGCCGCUGUUGGCUCGGGAUGCUCUCGGGCGGAAUAAUCGCUCCCGUCAGCGGCGCUUCAGCUUUGGACAAUUUCACGACCCGUCUUGAAACACGGACCAAGGAGUCUAACAUGUGCGCGAGUCAUUGGGCUGUACGAAACCUAAAGGCGUAAUGAAAGUGAAGGUCUCGCCUUGCGCGGGCCGAGGGAGGAUGGGGCUUCCCCGCCCUUCACGGGGCGGCGGCCUCCGCACUCCCGGGGCGUCUCGUCCUCAUUGCGAGGUGAGGCGCACCUAGAGCGUACACGUUGGGACCCGAAAGAUGGUGAACUAUGCCUGGCCAGGACGAAGUCAGGGGAAACCCUGAUGGAGGUCCGUAGCGAUUCUGACGUGCAAAUCGAUCGUCGGAGCUGGGUAUAGGGGCGAAAGACUAAUCGAACCAUCUAGUAGCUGGUUCCCUCCGAAGUUUCCCUCAGGAUAGCUGGUGCUCGUACGAGUCUCAUCCGGUAAAGCGAAUGAUUAGAGGCCUUGGGGCCGAAACGACCUCAACCUAUUCUCAAACUUUAAAUGGGUGAGAUCUCCGGCUUGCUUGAUAUGCUGAAGCCGCGAGCAAACGACUCGGAUCGGAGUGCCAAGUGGGCCACUUUUGGUAAGCAGAACUGGCGCUGUGGGAUGAACCAAACGCCGAGUUAAGGCGCCCGAAUCGACGCUCAUGGGAAACCAUGAAAGGCGUUGGUUGCUUAAGACAGCAGGACGGUGGCCAUGGAAGUCGGAAUCCGCUAAGGAGUGUGUAACAACUCACCUGCCGAAGCAACUAGCCCUGAAAAUGGAUGGCGCUGAAGCGUCGUGCCUAUACUCGGCCGUCAGUCUGGCAGUCAUGGCCGGUCCUUGCGGCCGGCCGCGAAGCCCUGACGAGUAGGAGGGUCGCGGCGGUGGGCGCAGAAGGGUCUGGGCGUGAGCCUGCCUGGAGCCGCCGUCGGUGCAGAUCUUGGUGGUAGUAGCAAAUACUCCAGCGAGGCCCUGGAGGGCUGACGCGGAGAAGGGUUUCGUGUGAACAGCCGUUGCACACGAGUCAGUCGAUCCUAAGCCCUAGGAGAAAUCCGAUGUUGAUGGGGGCCGUCAUAGCAUGAUGCGCUUUGUGCUGGCCCCCGUUGGGCGAAAGGGAAUCCGGUUCCUAUUCCGGAACCCGGCAGCGGAACCGAUACAAGUCGGGCCCCUCUUUUAGAGAUGCUCGUCGGGGUAACCCAAAAGGACCCGGAGACGCCGUCGGGAGAUCGGGGAAGAGUUUUCUUUUCUGCAUGAGCGUUCGAGUUCCCUGGAAUCCUCUAGCAGGGAGAUAGGGUUUGGAACGCGAAGAGCACCGCAGUUGCGGCGGUGUCCCGAUCUUCCCCUCGGACCUUGAAAAUCCGGGAGAGGGCCACGUGGAGGUGUCGCGCCGGUUCGUACCCAUAUCCGCAGCAGGUCUCCAAGGUGAAGAGCCUCUAGUCGAUAGAAUAAUGUAGGUAAGGGAAGUCGGCAAAUUGGAUCCGUAACUUCGGGAUAAGGAUUGGCUCUGAGGAUCGGGGCGUGUCGGGCUUGGUCGGGAAGUGGGUCAGCGCUAACGUGCCGGGCCUGGGCGAGGUGAGUGCCGUAGGGGUGCCGGUAAGUGCGGGCGUUUAGCGCGGGCGUGGUCUGCUCUCGCCGUUGGUCGGCCUCGUGCUGGCCGGCGGUGCAGGAUGCGCGCGCCUGCGCGGCGUUCGCGCCCCGGUGCUUCAACCUGCGUGCAGGAUCCGAGCUCGGUCCCGUGCCUUGGCCUCCCACGGAUCUUCCUUGCUGCGAGGCCGCGUCCGCCUUAGCGUGCUCCUCCGGGGGCGCGCGGGUGCGCGGAUUCUCUUCGGCCGCCAUUCAACGAUCAACUCAGAACUGGCACGGACUGGGGGAAUCCGACUGUCUAAUUAAAACAAAGCAUUGCGAUGGCCCUAGCGGGUGUUGACGCAAUGUGAUUUCUGCCCAGUGCUCUGAAUGUCAACGUGAAGAAAUUCAAGCAAGCGCGGGUAAACGGCGGGAGUAACUAUGACUCUCUUAAGUUGCGAAUUUUGUCACCGAGCUCACUAGCGUGGAUCGCGGCCUUCAGGGUCCUCCUAGCGAGCCAGCAGUCAGUCAUUCUUUGCCACAGUCUCCACCUCGAGUGGAAGAUGUUGACCUAGCCAUCUGGUCAUUUGUAGUAGAACUUCCCCAAUCAGACCGCCGAUUCCGCUCGCUUGAUGAUCUCGUGGCUCUGGGUCCCACCACUAGCCGUGAAACAAUCCAGGCUAUGUUGCUGUCUGUUCUCGAUGAAGUAGGCAGCAGGGAGCCAGCCGUCCACCAAGCUGCAAGUAUGCGGACCCAACAGCCCCCAGAGCGGAAGCGUGCACGCAGGAGAUGGGAGUAUGCGGUGGUCCAGCGUGCUUUCAAGAAGAACGGAGCACGCUGUAUCAACGGACUUCUCGAUGGCACACUCUUGCAUCAGCCACCAUCCAUCCCAGGGCUGAUUGAGUUUUGGACAGACCUCUUCUCUCCACCACGUGUCAGGUCCCGACCUCCGCGUGGGGAGGGUCUGUCCGAUGAGCUGCUGCCAUUCUCGAAGAGGGUGCCCUUCCGUGACCUCUGGGCUCCCAUUUCUGCAGAAGAAGCCACCGCUGCUCUCCCGCCUCGCAAUUCUGCUGCAGGUCCUGACGGCCUCACGCCGACACAACUGCGUCGCCUUCCCCGGGAGGUUCUCCUCAAGAUCCUUAAUUUCCUCCUCCUUUCCCGCUCCCUUCCUUCCCGACUCCUUCAGGCCAGAACAACCCUGCUGCCCAAGAGGACCGCCGCAGCAUCCCCUGCUGACUUUCGUCCGAUCACAGUUUGCUCGGUGCUGACCAGAGCCUUUCACAAGGUUCUGGUUGGCCGCCUGAUGCGCUACUGUGUGUUGGACGGUCGCCAGCGGGCUUUCAUCCCUCAGGAUGGGAUGCUUCACAACACCUUUCUUCUAGAUCUGGCGAUGACCCAGGCGUGCCGAGCUGCCGGCUCGCUGUACUUGGCAUCUCUGGAUGUGUCAAAGGCCUUCGACUCGCUUGCCCAUGGUGCCCUUGGCCCGGUGCUAAGGGCCCACGGUUUGCCGGUCGAGUUUGUUGACUACAUCCAGGGAUGCUAUGAGGCGGGAUCGACGGUUAUCUGCGCGGAUGGGAAGUCGUCAGAUCUAGUGCGGCCUUCGAGGGGUGUUCGGCAGGGUGACCCGCUGUCUCCUAUCCUCUUCAACAUGUCCAUUGACAUUCUCUUGUCUCGCCUGCCUGCUCAUAUUGGUGCACGCAUUCUUGGACGGCGGAUAAAUGCGGCUGCAUUCGCCGAUGACCUCCUGCUGUUUGCCGAGACUCGUGAUGGGUUGCAGGAACUUCUCACCAUCGCCACGUCGGCCCUGGGGGAUCUCGGGCUCGAGGUCAACCCACGGAAGUGUUUUUCUCUCGCCCUUGUCUCAUCAGGCCGGGAGAAGAAAACCAAGGUCGACGAGACUGUCAUCUUUCGUGCUGGGGGGAACAACAUCCCAGCACUGGCGAUGGGAGAUACUUUCAAGUAUCUAGGCCUGCAAUUUUCCACGUGCGGACGCAGUCUUUUUCAUCCCCGGCGGGAGGUCGAGAAGCAGAUGAACAUCAUCAAGCGUGCACCACUCAAACCUCAGCAGCGGCUUUUUGCCCUGCGUUCUGUUAUCCUCCCGGGUAUUUUCCAUGGUCUCGCCCUGGGGAGGACUCGUCUUGGGGCCCUCUCUUCCCUUGACGUCUGUGUUCGUGCAGCUGUUCGAUCUUGGUUGCACCUGCCAGCAGAUACGCCGGUCGGUUACUUCCACGCCCCCAUCUCUCAUGGGGGCUUGGGGGUGCCUGCAGCCCGCUGGCUGGGCCCUCUUCUUCGUAGGAGAAGAUUGGCGAAGAUGCAGGGACUGGGUGCGGCAGCGGACGAUUCUUCCCAGGACUUAAUCCAGCGAGAAAUUCACCAACUGGACCACGCCCUGCAAUGGCAGGGGGAAGUUAUAAAGUCCAGUUACCAGUUGGGCCGGUGUUGGGCCGACCGCCUGCACUCGUCGGUCGACGGCGCUGCGCUACGAGAGUCUGCCCGAACACCAGGGCAGCACUGCUGGGUCUCCAAUACGCGGCAGUUCGUAACCGGCCGCGACUACAUCUCAUGCCUGCG